UACAGAGACCUCAAGCGUUAUCCGGAAUCAUUGGGCGUAAAGCGUACCGAUAGGUGGUUUUGAAAGUUUUGGGUAAAAGCCAGAAGCUCAACUUCUGAGUUUGCUCAAAAUACUGCAAAACUAGAGGGGCAAAGAGGAGACUGGAACGAACGGUGUAGUAGUGAAAUGCGUUGAUAUCGUUCGGAACACCGAAAGCGAAGGCAGGUCUCUGGGUGCCACCUGACACUGCUAGGACGAAAGCGUGGGGGAGCGAAUGGG
rnacentral:rRNA from 1 species